UCCUACGGGCGGCUGCAGUGGGGAAUCUUAGACAAUGGGGGAAACCCUGAUCUAGCCAUGCCGCGUGAGCGAUGAAGGCCUUAGGGUUGUAAAGCUCUUUCAGCUGGGAAGAUAAUGACGGUACCAGCAGAAGAAGCCCCGGCUAACUCCGUGCCAGCAGCCGCGGUAAUACGGAGGGGGCUAGCGUUGUUCGGAAUUACUGGGCGUAAAGCGCACGUAGGCGGAUUAUUAAGUCGGGGGUGAAAUCCCGGGGCUCAACCCCGGAACUGCCUUCGAUACUGGUAGUCUUGAGGUCGAGAGAGGUGAGUGGAAUUCCGAGUGUAGAGGUGAAAUUCGUAGAUAUUCGGAGGAACACCAGUGGCGAAGGCGGCUCACUGGCUCGAUACUGACGCUGAGGUGCGAAAGCGUGGGGAGCAAACAGGAUUAGAUACCCGAGUAGUC
rnacentral:rRNA from 1 species